rnacentral:lncRNA from 1 species
AGACUGAAGUGAUGGACCAAUUGGUAGUCUCCCUAAACAUCUCCUUGUAGAAAUAUUCACUCGGUUACCAAUCUGUGAGUGGGUUCAAAUAUCAUGUGUCAGCAUGCAUUGGGCAAGUUUAUUUCAAGGAGAAUACUUGUGGCACGAUAUGAUUUUCAGCACAUAAGUGCCACGAUGAUUAUCUAAUUUUUCCCUUAAUUCUUGAACUGCACAUAUGGAUGCAGAUGCUUUUUACUGAGCUUGGAAAGGAACCACCAGCACACUUAUUCCGUCGUCGGCAACAAGUGCAAGUGCAGUUUCACGUAGGUAUAUUCGUCAACUAUGCAUAUAUAACAUAAUUGAAAUGUUGAUAGUGCCAAGAAACUGAUGGCAGUACCUUUUGUAAUUGGGAUGACCUAUUUAAUUAACCUAGAUCCAAAGUGAUGGAACAGAUGGUGCUGGAACCAAUGCUGAUCAAUGUGGAGAUCAAUGACACUGCUAUUGACUUGGAGCCUUGACCAACAAUCUGAUGUUGACAGUGAAGCUGAUGUUGAUCCUAGUAGCGGUGAUGUAUUUAUUUUGAUGCAUGAACCUAGUAGCAUAUGGUGAUGUAUUGACACAAAAUGAUGUGUAGUAUGACUUUUGUGGGUUCUUAUUUGGAUGAAUGCAAUGUGCCGUCGAUCUCAUGCAUUUAAUUGCUGUGCAUAUAUCUUGCUAUUAAAAAACUGAUUUGUAACUAUUUAUUAAAUUUCUGCAGAUCCCAAUUGUGAUUUUUUUUCUGAAUGUGUUCAUUUUUCUGUCGGUUAUUGGACCGUUAGAAAGAAUGUUUUUCUGACGGCAUUAUUUUUUUUUUUGUCGGUUACUGGACUGUCAGAAAACAGAUAUUUCUGUCGGUUGAAACCGACAGAAAUUGUUUUCCUGUCGUUUAGCCGUCAAACUAAAACGCGCCGGGGCAUGUUCCCGUCUGGAUUGACCGGGUGUUAGCUGGGU